rnacentral:rRNA from 1 species
UACGGAGGGUGCAAGCGUUAUCCGGAUUUACUGGGUUUAAAGGGUGCGUAGGUGGGUAGGAAAGUCAGUUGGUGAAAUCUUCGGGCUUAACCCGGAAACUGACCAUUGAUACUAUUUAUCUUGAAUACUUUGGAGGUAAGCGGAAUAUGUCAUGUAGGCGUGAAAUGCUUAGAUAUGACAUAGAACACCAAUUGCGAAGGCAGCUUACUACACAGUUAUUGACACUGAGGCACGAAAGCGUGGGGAUCAAACAGG